AAAGCAGGCACGUUUUCCAUCUUUGAACAUAUAAAGAGAUGGUUGAAAAUACAGCCCAUAUACAAAACAACAGAGCAGUGGUCCAUGUAUUUAAGACCCAGAAC